UGAUGCGACAGUUGUAUCAACCGUUGCAAUGUUUUAGCUUAAUUUUGAAAUUUUGCGACAGUUAAGUGAACCGUCUCAAUGUUUUUGCUUUACCACCAAUGAAAAGUUUGCCUCUUUCUCUAAUAAAUCAAAAAUUCACUCACAUAUUAUUAUUUUUUAUUUUAUUUUUAUACGAAAGAACAUAUCACAAACCCUUUUCUUUUUGUUUAUCUUUCCCCCAACAUUGAACCACAACCACGAAUUGCAAAUCCCUCCGCCGAAUCCUCCGCCGCCGAAUCGCAAAUAUGGAACCACAAAUCCCUCCGCUGGAUCCUUAAUCGAAGAACCUCAAACCCCUCGUCGUUCUCCUUCGUUCAAUCCGUCAAUAUCUCUGCCGUUCUUCUUCAAUUACUCCACCGUUCUCCUUUAAUCCUCCGCCGUUCUCUGCGGUCCAAGUGGUGGUGAGCAAGCCUUGAGGAUUGAAGAUGGUUAUUCUGCUCAUGAAAACAUUGGUCGCCUUAAUGUGUUAGACUUACAAGUAUUUAUCGAUUCAUUCCCGAUUACAUAUGUAGAUUCGCCGACUUCCAAAACCAGUAAUUGCAUGGUUGCAGGGUAUGCUGGUGGAGGUGGGCAUGUAUUACAUAUGGUUUGUGAUUCAACUGUCGCAACAGGCUGAAGAAUAUGCACUAGAGUUAAGAACUUGGAUGGUUCUUUGUAAAAUCCUACUGAUUUUUUCAAGUAUGCACUUUACUUUCCAAGCAUUGUUCGAGCAUGGAGGUAACCGAAUAAGAAGAGUCAAGUGAUGAUAGGCGUUCUGAGUCUAGCUAACACUAAUUAAGGAUUAUGAAGCAACAUCACAUAUUUUGUGAACUUAUUAUGACGUAAUGUUAUGUUUAACCACUAGUAAUAUUUAUGUUUUAGUUUUUGAAUCUUUGAACUACAUUAGUUUCUUUCGUUUGAAACUUCAAGUACUUUAAUUAAAUUUUUGAUGUAUGGAUCUUGUCACUAUUGAAUGAAUUAAAUAAAUGAGAUUCAGUUAUUUA